rnacentral:lncRNA from 1 species
UUAUUUGCUGCUAACUAAUAUCCUUCCCACCAUCCCAAAUGAACAGCUGGUAUAUUAUUUUUCUGGACUAAUUAUCUAGGACUGCCUUAGGUAAUAGUUUACCUUGAAAUAUCAAUAGCUCAAUUUUCCAUAUAAAAUCCACCUGGGCAGUUGUAGUCUACCUCCAGAAGACAAAGCCUUUUUUCCAAGUGAUUAAACGACUACUGAGUUGAUCUAUCAAAACUGUACAAUCUGAAAAUCUAAGAUCCCUCUCAAGUUCUCAACUAAUGGCAAGCUAAUGUGUUUAAUUGGAAAUUUUAAAAUGGUCUGAAUUUCUGUGUCUUCUGGAAAGAGUUAGUUAGGUAUAGUGUGCUCUUCUCUGGAUUUGGUGUUAAGCCUGAAAAUUCUGAAAAGUUUUGUAAUAUGCUCUUAAUUGUUCAUAAUGACUUCCUAUUUGUUUUGCAAAAGCAUAGUAGGUCAUCAACAAAA